AUUCCUACGGGAGGCAGCAGUGAGGAAUAUUGGACAAUGGAGGCAACUCUGAUCCAGCCAUGCCGCGUGCAGGAAGACGGCCCUAUGGGUUGUAAACUGCUUUUAUACGGGAAGAACCACAUCUACGUGUAGAUGCUUGACGGUACCGUAUGAAUAAGGACCGGCUAACUCCGUGCCAGCAGCCGCGGUAAUACGGAGGGUCCAAGCGUUAUCCGGAAUCAUUGGGUUUAAAGGGUCCGUAGGCGGGAUAAUAAGUCAGUGGUGAAAGUCUGCAGCUCAACUGUAGAAUUGCCAUUGAUACUGUUGUUCUUGAAUUAUUAUGAAGUGGUUGGAAUGAGUAGUGUAGCGGUGAAAUGCAUAGAUAUUACUCAGAACACCUAUUGCGAAGGCAGAUCACUAAUAAUAUAUUGACGCUGAGGGACGAAAGCGUAGGUAGCGAACAGGAUUAGAUAGCCUGGUAGUCUACGCCGUAAACGAUGGUUACUAGCUGUUCGGCUCGAUUGAGAGCUGAGUGGUUAAGCGAAAGUGAUAAGUAACCCACCUGGGGAGUACGUUCGCAAGAAUGAAACUCAAAGGAAUUGACGGAAU
rnacentral:rRNA from 1 species